rnacentral:rRNA from 1 species
GAUGAACGCUGGCGGCGUGCCUAAUACAUGCAAGUCGAGCGAACUGAUUAGAAGCUUGCUUCUAUGCCGUUAGCGGCGGACGGGUGAGUAAUACGAGGGCAACUUGCCUGUAGACUGGGAUAACUUCGGGCAACCGAAGUUACUAACGGAUAGGACCUUAUACGUCAUGGGAGAUGACUGAGAGAUGCUUUCGGCUAUCACUACCAGAUGGGCACGGGGUGCAUUAGGGAGUUGGUGAGGUAACGGCUCACCAAGGCAACGAUGCAGAGCCGGCCUGAGAGGGUGAUCAGCAACACUGGGACUGAGACACGGCCCAGACUCCUACGGGAGGCAGCAGUAGGGAAUCUUCCGCAAUGGACGAAAGUCUGACGGAGCAACGCCGCGUGAGUGAUGAAGGCUUUCGGGUCGUAAAACUCUGUUGUUAGGGAAGAACAAGUACAAGAGUAACUGCUUGUACCUUGACGGUACCUAACCAGAAAGCCACGGCUAACUACGUGCCAGCCGCCGCAGUAACAC